rnacentral:rRNA from 1 species
UGGGGAAUAUUGGACAAUGGGCGCAAGCCUGAUCCAGCAAUGCCGCGUGUGUGAAGAAGGCCUUCGGGUUGUAAAGCACUUUUAUCAGGAACGAAACACUGUCGGCUAAUACUCGGCGGGACUGACGGUACCUGAGGAAUAAGCACCGGCUAACUUCGUGCCAGCAGCCGCGGUAAUACGAAGGGUGCAAGCGUUAAUCGGAAUUACUGGGCGUAAAGCGUGCGUAGGCGGUUUGUUAAGUCUGUUGUGAAAUCCCCGGGCUCAACCUGGGAAUGGCAAUGGAUACUGGCAAGCUAGAGUGUGAUAGAGGAUGGUGGAAUUCCCGGUGUAGCGGUGAAAUGCGUAGAGAUCGGGAGGAACAUCAGUGGCGAAGGCGGCCAUCUGGAUCAACACUGACGCUGAGGCACGAAAGCGUGGGGAGCAAACA